rnacentral:tRNA from 1 species
CGAGAGUAACGGGAUUUGAACCCGAGGCCUUUGGCGUGACAAGCCAACGCUCUAACCAGCUGAGCUAUACUCUC